rnacentral:tRNA from 1 species
UUUUAGAAAGUUAAUUAUUGAUUUGCACUCAAUAGAUAUGAAUAUUCAUACUGAAUA